CUGGGUAUAGCUCAGUGGUAGAGCACAUGCUUAGCAUGCACAAGGUCCUGGGUUCAAUCCUUAGUACCUGCA
rnacentral:tRNA from 1 species